CUUUCUUGCGGAUAACGAAGACCAAAUACAGAACAUCCAACUUCGACUAACGUAGCCAACCGCAGCUCCAAUAUGGCAAAUCACGAAGAAUUCAGGCUAAAGGAGACACAGAAAAAAAAGAAGGUAAUAACUGGACUCCAACUGUAUGUGCAUAACUAUAAUAAAUAACACAGUACGUCAAACCCAAACUCUACACCCCCAAAUACGGUAAUACAGUUAUAGGGA